UACGUAGGGAGCAAGCGUUGUCCGGAAUCAUUGGGCGUAAAGCGCGCGUAGGUGGCCCCAUAAGUCCGCUGUGAAAGUCAAAGGCUCAACCUUUGAAAGCCGGUGGAUACUGUGGGACUAGAGUACGGAAGAGGCGAGUGGAAUUCCUGGUGUAGCGGUGGAAUGCGCAGAUAUCAGGAGGAACACCAAUAGCGAAGGCGGCUCUCUGGGACGGUACUGACGCUGAGACGCGAAAGCGUGGGGAGCGAACAGG
rnacentral:rRNA from 1 species